UCUGUUAAAAGCUUGAUGGUCAGUCCAUGACACUGAUGGGAGGUGAGAGAACCAAUAAGCAAUGGGGCAUAUCGUCUUGUAUCGUACCAUAGAUUGGCAUGGCAUGGCAUGCGCCUGGGGCUCAACACAGAUGGUCAUAGCCACAUUAUGCAUGGUAUAUUCAUGAGUUUCUUCUUCACAAGACAACAGGAUGGUCUACUCGUAUAUACAGCCUGGAUCCAUAUCCAGACAACGUUGGAAGAAAAAGAUGACCCUAAAGGUCGUAUGUUUCUUUUUUAUAGACCAUUAUUGUUGUGACAGAAUGGAAAGGAAAUCAGAGAGAAUGAGAGCAAGAGGGGAUGAGUUCCCUGCUGAACAGCAGCAUGAGAGAUUCUGGGAAGACUCUAUGUCUUGAUGUGGGGUCCACUAGCGGCAUCCUGCUGUGGUGCAUGCUAUGGUAUAGUUUCCAUUUGAGUGUGUUCUUCACGUUUGCAUGCAUGUGUGCAUAGGAGCAGGUGCACGUGUAGGCAUGGGUAUGCAGAGGCCAGAGAUAAAUUAUUCUUCAACAGUUCACCACCUCCCUUUUUUUCUGUUUUGAGACCCAUCUCUCACUAACCAGGAGCUCACGGAUUUAGCUAGACCCGCUGGCCAGUGGGUCUCAGGCAUGUGAUGGCUCCACCUCCAGCCCAGGAGCUGUGUGCCACUGUGCCCAGCUGUUUGCAUGAGCGCUUGGCAUCUGACUCAGGCAUGAUACCUACUGAGCCACCAUCGCAGCCUUUCACACGACGUCUCCCAGCCUGUGAUGCAUGCUCAGAAGCAUCAAGCAGAAGCAAAUACCUUCUUCCAGGAUCAAUGCAGAUUUGUCUCCAAGAACCCAAGCAGUCAUGGACGGGCAGAGGAACUGAAGAAUAGGAAUGUUAGAAUUUCCAAGUGGGAAAAAGACGUUAAACAUU